GAUGAACGCUGGCGGCGUGCCUAAUACAUGCAAGUCGAGCGAACAGACGAGGAGCUUGCUCCUCUGACGUUAGCGGCGGACGGGUGAGUAACACGUGGAUAACCUACCUAUAAGACUGGGAUAACUUCGGGAAACCGGAGCUAAUACCGUAUAAUAUAUUGAACCGCAUGGUUCAAUAGUGAAAGACGGUUUUGCUGUCACUUAUAGAUGGAUCCGCGCCGCAUUAGCUAGUUGGUAAGGUAACGGCUUACCAAGGCAACGAUGCGUAGCCGACCUGAGAGGGUGAUCGGCCACACUGGAAGUGAGACAAGGUCAAGACUCCUACGGGAGGCAGCAGUAGGGAAUCGUCCGCAAUGGGAGAAAGCUUGACGGAGCAACGCCGAGUGAGUGAUGAAGGUCUUCGGAUCGUAAAACUCUGUUAUUAGGGAAGAACAAAUGUGUAAGUAACUAUACACGUCUUGACGGUACCUAAUCAGAAAGCAACGGCUAACUACGUG
rnacentral:rRNA from 1 species